rnacentral:miRNA from 1 species
AGACAUCCAGUUAAAUUUGCAUUUCAGAUAAAUAAUUACUUUUUCUUAUGCACAUAUGCUAUGCAAUACUUGGGACAUACUUAUACUAAAAAAACCCAAUUUGUUGUUUGUUUGAAAUUCAAAUAUAACUGGGUGUCCU